GAGUUUGAUCAUGGCUCAGAUUGAACGCUGGCGGCAUGCCUUACACAUGCAAGUCGAACGGCAGCACGGGAGCUUGCUCCUGGUGGCGAGUGGCGAACGGGUGAGUAAUGCAUCGGAACGUAUCCUGGAGUGGGGGAUAACGUAGCGAAAGUUACGCUAAUACCGCAUAUUCUGUGAGCAGGAAAGCGGGGGACCUUCGGGCCUCGCGCUCUUGGAGCGGCCGAUGUCGGAUUAGCUAGUUGGUGAGGUAAAGGCUCACCAAGGCGACGAUCCGUAGCAGGUCUGAGAGGAUGAUCUGCCACACUGGAACUGAGACACGGUCCAGACUCCUACGGGAGGCAGCAGUGGGGAAUUUUGGACAAUGGGGGCAACCCUGAUCCAGCCCAUGCCGCGUGAGUGAAGAAGGCCUCGG
rnacentral:rRNA from 1 species